rnacentral:rRNA from 1 species
UACGAAGGGUGCAAGCGUUACUCGGAAUCACUGGGCGUAAAGGGCGCGUAGGUGGCCUGAUAAGGGUGUGGUGAAAGUCCGGGGGCUCAACCCCCGGAUCUGCCGUGCCGACUGUUGGGGCUGGAGUACUGUAGGGGCAGGCGGAAUUCCGGGUGUAGCGGUGGAAUGCGUAGAGAUCCGGAGAACACCGGUGGCGAAGGCGGCCUGCUGGGCUAUGGCUGACACUGAGGCGCGACAGCGUGGGGAGCAAACAGG